GACUGGGAGCCUGGAGAUGUUGGGAACAAGCUCAUCCUGUCUCCCAACAGAGUAAGGACACUUCCAGAAACUCAGCAACCCCUGGACUCAGCUGCCGCCUAUCUCGUGUUUCUCAGGUUUGUGGGAGUCUAACGUGGCCAGGCCCGAGUUUGCGGUUCUGCUGUGGAAGGAAUCGGCUUUGUAUGGAAAGACAUACAUACAUACAUGUAUGUAUGGUUUAUGACACCAAAGGGGAAAAGCAAAGGAGGAAGCUUCUGAAACACCGGUACUGCAUGCCCAGUGCAGUGUUUUGUGUUUUCAACUUUGUUUUUGCGGAUUUUGUUUUUUAUGGGUGUUUUUUUUUUGGGGGGGGGGUUGCUUUUUUUUUUUAACCCUUGGCAACCUUGUAAAGGGAAUUUGAGGAUUCCCAUUUUUAUACAUAGGACUCAGAAAAGUCAAAGCAAUUCAGAGGUGAGGGCAGCCCCUCUAACCAGCCCGAGUUGGGGCCUCGCUGGGGGCGGGACGAGCGGAGAAGGUGUGGACUUGGCAGGGGACAUCCUCCUGCCUGCCUUUAUUGUUCGCAGAACCGAAAAAGUGAUGGUAGCUUUCCUUCCUGUCUUUAAGAAAACAACAGAAUCAAAACAAACAGAGAAGGGGAACUCCCCUCCUCCGGCCCUUGCCAGAAAGAAAAGGAAGCUUUCCUGCCUGCGGCGACCUGCGCUACUUCAGGCUGGGACAGAGGCUGCUAAGCCAGCUAAGCCAGCACCCACACUAAACCCCGGGGCUGCCAGGUCCCCUGCUUACUGAGUCUGGUCUUAGCUUACUUCCAAGAAGGGACACAGGCGCACAUGAGGCAGCUAAAGGCCAGGGCCAGGAGGAAACGGAAAUACAAAGUCCAAGACCUAAAACCAACGGCUCUGGAAAUAACUCCCAGUUGGUUCACACAGUGCUCCCAGACCCCGCCUCAUUUCUUAGUGCCCAAACUACCCACACUUACUGAACUCAGAAAAGGGGCGUCACCCCCCAAGGUCCUAUCCUCCCUGUCCUGGACUUGCCUGUGUGUGCCUCGAGGACCUUGCCAACAAAGUCUAGAACAGCCACAGUGCCCUUGAUAACGAAAGAGACCCUUCACCUUACCCAGAUCGCUCCUACUUGGCUCUUUUAGUCACAGAUAGCUUGUGGUAACUGUCUACAGUGACUGACAGCCAGAGUGAUUUCUACCCCUCUAGACAGAGGUCUGAGGCCUCAAAGGUAGCAGUGUCACCAUUACCAAGUUCACAGUGACAAUGUUUCCUCUGUACAGGUCCACUGGAUCAGACUCUGCUUUUGCAGACACUCUAAGGCCAUCUGUGCCCGUUGAAAGCUUUAGUUCAAUUAAGGAAUUUGUCUGUGGUCUGGGUUCACAGUGAGCUGGUCACUGAGAGAAUAGUUAUUCUCCACUGAGGCUAAUUAGUCUCAGGAAACGGUAAGUGACUAGUGCAUUCCGCACUCAGGCCUGUACCUGCCCCUUUGGGAAAUGUCCGCUGUCUCCCAGGGCCAGAGAGAACCUGUGGUGUGGAGUGGAAUCCAAAGGGAAACUGCUCGGAGGCUGGACUAGGGAGAGAGUCAAAGUGAUGUUUCUUCUAGAUCUGUUGUUGGACAACUGCUGGUCCCAACUGCCUGCUGGGUCGUUCCUGUCCUAGGUCCUGCACUUAAUGUCCCUGAGUUGGCAUCAGCUGAACGAACAGCCACUUCCUGAGCUUUGCUGGCAGCAGGCGGCCAGAGGUCAGAGGUCAAGGAGGGUUGCUCUCUGAAGACCAGGCCAGAGCAGAGCUGAAACUGGGUCUUCUGAGCCCCUGCACAAUCUCUUCCUUGGCAUCCCCACUGCCUGAGGCCAGUUACCAGUUCUCAUGUAAUAUUCAAACCUCAUCUCCCUUCCUGAUCUCUUAUCAAAGCACAAAAGCCAGCCCGAACCCUGCCUUCCCUCCAAAGUUUCUGCUGGCUCCCCAUUGCUCAGUGGAUCUGGAGAACAAGGGUUAAUGGCUACUCUCUUGGAUCAUGAUCCUGCAGCUGGAUGAGCAGAUUGGUUGGAGGGCAGAUACUCUGGGACAGUUAGUUGCCUUGCGUGUGGCUGCCUUCCCAAAGGCCCGGUUCCAGUCACAGUAGGCAUUUGUCUUUCUCUCUUCUGUCUUUCCUGAGUAUGGUGACUCUAGGACCUUGCACAUACUGCCCAAGCCACUCUGGAAGUUGUACACGCCUGUGUAGCCCUGGCCUAGAACUUGCUGUAGACCAAGCAGGCCUCACACUCAGAGAUCCAUCUGCCUCUACCCUGAGUGCUGGAUUAGAGGUGUGCACCACCCACCAAGUUGGCCUUAAAUCCUCCUGCCUCAGCCUCCCAGAUAGCCCAAGCCUAGGUAAGACCCGGCUCUCUCUCCCACCUCUAGAAAACCUCCUACCCUGAGGCCCCACCAUCCUCCCUGCACACAGGGCAGAUAAGGCUCUGUCAGUUCAGGGCUCUAUUGUAGAGCGGUUAUCUGUUGUCACAGCUGGCUCUUCUGAUCCCGGGCCUCGCCAACCCAACCGCCCUUCUCUGGGGUCUGACUCAGUGGCACCCUAGGAAGCUUUGCAUGAACAAAUCAGUUUGCUCUGUAACUUCCAGUCAAUUCCCUCUGCCCUGCUGACGCCAAGAGAACAUCCUGUCCUGGGUAACUGGGAAGAAGUGGCUGGCCUGUGGGAUUAAAAGAGCACCAGCACCAGCACCAGCACCACCACCCAUCUUGGAAGUCUUUUUAAAGAAGUCUGUGUGGGGGUGUAUUCCACAGGGCUGACUCAUUGUUUCCCCACAAACAGCAGGCCUGCCAGGCCCGGGUUCUUUCUUAAUGAACAGCCCCAGAGCCUGCUGGAUGCCAUCCUGGCCUCCCAACAGCUGGGCCAGGCCCAGAACAACUGAGUUAUCUCUGCCUGCACCCUGUUGGCGAGGGAGAGCCGCUCCAGGGAGAAGAGAGGGGUGUGGGCAAGGCAGUGUCCUGGGAGCAGCCAUCUAACAGAGCUUGGGCUUCUGGAAGAUUAGGGGGGUGAUGGGGGUGGCCAAGCAAGGCCCAGGCUCCCCAUCUGUAAAAUGUUGGAAGAACAAUCCUGCACCUUAGAGGCGUUUGGUGAAUCAGUGACUUUGCCUUUAUCCCUUCGCGGGUGCAGCAUGCAUGCAAGCAUUUGUGUUGUGCAGAAUAAGCCUUGUGUUCUGCAACCCAGGCUACGUCUUUGACCAUAAGGAUGGCUGUAACUUUUUUUUUUGAGGCCGAGGUCUCAUGCAGCCGUCGGCGUCCAGAAUGGCCUUGACUUCUUAAUCCUCCUGGUUCCCCUUCCCCGAGUGAGUGCUGGGAUUACUGAAUUACACCACCGCCCUCAGGUUUAUGCUACUCAUUUUUAAAAGAUCUAUAUGUCUCCUGCGGUUGGGGUAAAAAAAAAAAAA